CGUGCCAGCAGCCGCGGUAAGACGUAGGACGCAAGCGUUAUCCGGAUUUACUGGGCGUAAAGCGUCUGUAGGCGGUUGGGUAAGUUGGGCGUGAAAGCUCCGUGCUCAACGCGGAGAGGUCGUUCAAUACUGCCGAACUAGAGGACAUCAGAGGAGCAUGGAAUUUCCGGUGUAGCGGUAAAAUGCGCAGAUAUCGGAAGGAACACCAGUGGCGAAGGCGGUGCUCUGGGGUGUGCCUGACGCUGAGAGACGAAAGCUAGGGGAGCGAACAGGAUUAGAGACCCUGGUAGUCCUAGCCCUAAACGAUGGAUGCUAGAUGUGGGGCCGAGAAGGCUCCGUGUCGCAGUUAACGCGGUAAGCAUCCCGCCUGGGGAUUACGGCCGCAAGGCUAAAACUCAAACGAAUUGACGGGGCCCCGCACAAGCAGCGGAGCGUGUGGUUUAAUUCGAUGCUACACGAAGAACCUUACCUGGGUUUGACAUGUAAGUGGUAGUGAAGCGAAAGCGGAGCGACCCUUCGGGGAGCUUACACAGGUGCUGCAUGGCUGUCGUCAGCUCGUGCCGUGAGGUGUCGGGUUAAGUCCCGUAACGAGCGCAACCCUUGCCCUUAGUUACAAGUGUCUAAGGGGACUGCCGGCGGUAAGCCGGAGGAAGGUGGGGAUGACGUCAAGUCAGCAUGGCCCUUAUAUCCAGGGCUACACACACGCUACAAUGGUCAGUACAAAGGGCAGCGAAGCCGCGAGGUGAAGCGAAUCCCACCAAAGCUGAUCUAAGUUCGGAUUGCAGGCUGCAACUCGCCUGCAUGAAGC
rnacentral:rRNA from 1 species